UUUGUCGUAGCUUAGUAGUCAGAGCGUUGGCGCGUAAAACCAAAGGUGCCGGGUUCGAUUCCCGGCGAUGGGU
rnacentral:tRNA from 1 species